rnacentral:rRNA from 1 species
CAGUAGCCGCGGUAAUACGUAGGUGGCAAGCGUUGUCCGGAAUUAUUGGGCGUAAAGGGCUCGCAGGCGGUUUCUUAAGUCUGAUGUGAAAGCCCCCGGCUCAACCGGGGAGGGUCAUUGGAAACUGGGAAACUUGAGUGCAGAAGAGGAGAGUGGAAUUCCACGUGUAGCGGUGAAAUGCGUAGAGAUGUGGAGGAACACCAGUGGCGAAGGCGACUCUCUGGUCUGUAACUGACGCUGAGGAGCGAAAGCGUGGGGAGCGAACAGGAUUAGAUACCUCAGUAGUCCCUGUCUCUUAUAC